rnacentral:misc_RNA from 1 species
UUUUUUUUUUUGAAUUUCUUUCUGUUGACUGACUUCAAGAACAAGGAAAUAUGAGGUGCAAAACAAAAUGGGUUUGGAUCAAAUUGUGAAAACUAUUGGUCUUUGAAGAAGAAGAAGAAGAAGAAGAAGAAGAAGAAGAAAGAAUUUUGCUUUGAAGUGUUCAAAACCCAGAUGGUGUUGAUGGAGUCACAGAGCAAUAACCAAGAAAACAUCAAGAGUAGCAGUAAAGAUCACCAUGGCCAAAAACAAGAAUCAGCAGCUUCACUGCAAUUAGUCUCUCUUGAAAACCAAUCAUCACAACUUCAACAGCAUGGGUCUACUGCUGCUACCGCCACCAUUACUAGUACUGCUCAGGGCCCAUUCAUGGGCUCCAUCUCCAACCAAAUUACUGUCCACCCUUCAACCUCCAACUCCAAUUCUGCUGCCCUCACCAAACCCACCACCAAAAGACCCUCCAAGGACCGCCACACUGGAUGGCCGUGGACGCCGCAUCCGCAUGCCGGCCUUAUGUGCUGCGAGAGUCUUUCAGCUUACCAGAGAAUUAGGCCAUAAAUCUGAUGGAGAAACAAUUGAAUGGCUCUUACAACAAGCAGAACCAGCAAUAAUUGCAGCUACUGGAACUGGUACAAUUCCUGCCAAUUUCUCAACACUAAAUGUGUCCUUACGUAGCAGUGGCACUACCAUUUCAGCGCCGGCAUCAAAAUCAGCUCCUCUUUCUUUUCAUAGCGGUCUAGCUUUCUAUGAUCCUAAAAUUGUAUUGUUGGAACCAAUAACUCUUCGAUUUUCACUUCCAUUACUGUCUACAAUGUUAGGAUUUCACCACCAGCUCUAUCCUCAAACUCUCGUUUCCGAUGAGAAUUACAUGAGAAUAAAGACCUACAGAGAAGAUCUUUUCAAAGAAACAACAGCAGCAUCAACAACCCAACAAGAAUCCACUGAACCAGUUAACCCAACUUCUAAUAAUAAGCCACCAAUAGCUGCUGCAAGAACUGGAGUUCAAGAUCAUUUUCAUCAAGAGCUGGGUUCCAUUAGACCAUCAAACAUUCU